UUUUAUGGAGAGUUUGAUCCUGGCUCAGGAUGAACGCUGGCGGCGUGCCUAAUACAUGCAAGUCGAGCGAACGGACGAGAAGCUUGCUUCUCUGAUGUUAGCGGCGGACGGGUGAGUAACACGUGGAUAACCUACCUAUAAGACUGGGAUAACUUCGGGAAACCGGAGCUAAUACCGGAUAAUAUUUUGAACCGCAUGGUUCAAAAGUGAAAGACGGUCUUGCUGUCACUUAUAGAUGGAUCCGCGCUGCAUUAGCUAGUUGGUAAGGUAACGGCUUACCAAGGCAACGAUGCAUAGCCGACCUGAGAGGGUGAUCGGCCACACUGGAACUGAGACACGGUCCAGACUCCUACGGGAGGCAGCAGUAGGGAAUCUUCCGCAAUGGGCGAAAGCCUGACGGAGCAACGCCGCGUGAGUGAUGAAGGUCUUCGGAUCGUAAAACUCUGUUAUUAGGGAAGAACAUAUGUGUAAGUAACUGUGCACAUCUUGACGGUACCUAAUCAGAAAGCCACGGCUAACUACGUGCCAGCAGCCGCGGUAAUACGUAGGUGGCAAGCGUUAUCCGGAAUUAUUGGGCGUAAAGCGCGCGUAGGCGGUUUUUUAAGUCUGAUGUGAAAGCCCACGGCUCAACCGUGGAGGGUCAUUGGAAACUGGAAAACUUGAGUGCAGAAGAGGAAAGUGGAAUUCCAUGUGUAGCGGUGAAAUGCGCAGAGAUAUGGAGGAACACCAGUGGCGAAGGCGACUUUCUGGUCUGUAACUGACGCUGAUGUGCGAAAGCGUGGGGAUCAAACAGGAUUAGAUACCCUGGUAGUCCACGCCGUAAACGAUGAGUGCUAAGUGUUAGGGGGUUUCCGCCCCUUAGUGCUGCAGCUAACGCAUUAAGCACUCCGCCUGGGGAGUACGACCGCAAGGUUGAAACUCAAAGGAAUUGACGGGGACCCGCACAAGCGGUGGAGCAUGUGGUUUAAUUCGAAGCAACGCGAAGAACCUUACCAAAUCUUGACAUCCUUUGACAACUCUAGAGAUAGAGCCUUCCGCUUCGGGGGACAAAGUGACAGGUGGUGCAUGGUUGUCGUCAGCUCGUGUCGUGAGAUGUUGGGUUAAGUCCCGCAACGAGCGCAACCCUUAAGCUUAGUUGCCAUCAUUAAGUUGGGCACUCUAAGUUGACUGCCGGUGACAAACCGGAGGAAGGUGGGGAUGACGUCAAAUCAUCAUGCCCCUUAUGAUUUGGGCUACACACGUGCUACAAUGGACAAUACAAAGGGCAGCGAAACCGCGAGGUCAAGCAAAUCCCAUAAAGUUGUUCUCAGUUCGGAUUGUAGUCUGCAACUCGACUACAUGAAGCUGGAAUCGCUAGUAAUCGUAGAUCAGCAUGCUACGGUGAAUACGUUCCCGGGUCUUGUACACACCGCCCGUCACACCACGAGAGUUUGUAACACCCGAAGCCGGUGGAGUAACCUUUUAGGAGCUAGCCGUCGAAGGUGGGACAAAUGAUUGGGGUGAAGUCGUAACAAGGUAGCCGUAUCGGAAGGUGCGGCUGGAUCACCUCCUUUCUAA
rnacentral:rRNA from 1 species